rnacentral:rRNA from 1 species
GGAAUAUUGCACAAUGGGCGCAAGCCUGAUGCAGCGACGCCGCGUGAGGGAUGACGGCCUUCGGGUUGUAAACCUCUUUCAGUAGGGAAGAAGCGAAAGUGACGGUACCUGCAGAAGAAGCGCCGGCUAACUACGUGCCAGCAGCCGCGGUAAUACGUAGGGCGCAAGCGUUAUCCGGAAUUAUUGGGCGUAAAGAGCUCGUAGGCGGUUUGUCGCGUCUGCCGUGAAAGUCCGGGGCUCAACUCCGGAUCUGCGGUGGGUACGGGCAGACUAGAGUGAUGUAGGGGAGACUGGAAUUCCUGGUGUAGCGGUGAAAUGCGCAGAUAUCAGGAGGAACACCGAUGGCGAAGGCAGGUCUCUGGGCAUUAACUGACGCUGAGGAGCGAAAGCAUGGGGAGCGAACAGGAUUAGAUACCCGGG